rnacentral:rRNA from 1 species
ACGGUAACAGGGGAGCUUGCUCCCGCUGACGAGUGGCGAACGGGUGAGUAAUGCAUCGGAACGUGCCGAAUAGUGGGGGAUAACGCACCGAAAGGUGUGCUAAUACCGCAUACGCCCUGAGGGGGAAAGUGGGGGACCGCAAGGCCUCACGCUAAUCGAGCGGCCGAUGUCGGAUUAGCUAGUUGGUGGGGUAAAGGCUCACCAAGGCGACGAUCCGUAGCGGGUCUGAGAGGAUGAUCCGCCACACUGGGACUGAGACACGGCCCAGACUCCUACGGGAGGCAGCAGUGGGGAAUUUUGGACAAUGGGGGAAACCCUGAUCCAGCCAUGCCGCGUGUCUGAAGAAGGCCUUCGGGUUGUAAAGGACUUUUGUCCGGGAGGAAACCCUGAUCGUUAAUAGCGGUCGGGACUGACAGUACCGGAAGAAUAAGCACCGGCUAACUACGUGCCAGCAGCCGCGGUAAUACGUAGGGUGCAAGCGUUAAUCGGAAUUACUGGGCGUAAAGCGUGCGCAGGCGGUGAGAUAAGUCAGCUGUGAAAGCCCCGGGCUCAACCUGGGAACUGCGGCCGAAACUGUCUCGCUAGAGUACGUCAGAGGGGGGUGGAAUUCCACGUGUAGCAGUGAAAUGCGUAGAUAUGUGGAGGA